rnacentral:rRNA from 1 species
AACGAACGCUGGCGGCAGGCUUAACACAUGCAAGUCGAACGCCCCGCAAGGGGAGUGGCAGACGGGUGAGUAACGCGUGGGAAUCUACCUAGUUCUACGGAACAACACAGGGAAACUUGUGCUAAUACCGUAUACGCCCUACGGGGGAAAGAUUUAUCGGAAUUAGAUGAGCCCGCGUAGGAUUAGCUAGUUGGUGGGGUAAUGGCCUACCAAGGCGACGAUCUUUAGCUGGUCUGAGAGGAUGAUCAGCCACACUGGGACUGAGACACGGCCCAGACUCAUACGGGAGGCAGCAGUGGGGAAUAUUGGACAAUGGGCGAAAGCCUGAUCCAGCCAUGCAGCGUGAGUGAUGAAGGCCUUAGGGUUGUAAAGCUCUUUCAGUAGGGAAGUUAAUGACGGUACCUACAGAAGAAGCCCCGGCUAACUUCGUGCCAGCCGCCGCAGUAAUAC